GGAAGUCGUCUGCUCUCACCGCUGCAAGAAGGCGCGAGAGCAGACGAUUUGUUCAUCCAAUAAGCGGUCUGCCAUCGUAGCGGAUAUCGCUGUUGCCAACAGAAAUCGCAAUGUGCUGGCGCUGUUCUUAUCAACUUAAUUCGUUUAUUUAAUAACCGUGGCGAUUCUGGACGAGCGAAUUCACAGUAUUACGUUUUCAGAUAUGAGGAAUCGAAUGGUACGCUUUGUGGAUAGGCCAGGGUGUACGAGACCGUCCCUAUAAAUCCUUUCUUCACAUCUUCACCUCGCUUGGUCUUGAGAGGUGUGGCCAUGACUUGCCUCGACAAACAGUCUAUCACCAGCAAGCUCAGCUCGAGCCCAAUAUACUUUGAAAACGCUCCAGAGUCGCCGCCGCCGAUAUCUUACACACCAGUAUCAGAUGAGAGCAUAUUUAGCUCUAGUCCGUCAUUUUUUCAAAACGCUCCAGAGUCACCGCCGCCGAUAUCUUACACACCAAUACCAAGACCAACGCCUGAAUGUAAGUAAAAGUUAUAGCAUAAUUACAAUAAUAAAUGAUAUUCACUUACAGGUUACUGGGGUCCGUCGCCACAGUGUAUGUAUUAAUGAAAUGUAUAAACUGAUAUUAAUUUAGAUUCGCUUACAGAUUACUGGGGUCUGCCACCACAGCAUUGUCAGUGCUGUGUCCAACGAGCGGAAACAAAAGAGUUUCUAAAAAAUGUAAUAAUAGAGACAUUGAAUGAAAUAUUUAGAGAGCAAUAAAUGUAUAUAUUAUUUAUUAUGUGUAUUGUGUUUCUUCUGUUACAGGUCGUGAAGGUUUUUCGGCUGGGUUUUUCUCCUUCACCUGAUUGGCAUCACAAUUGGCACAAUUCCCAGCACAAUUGGCUUUAAUAAAUAUAUCGCAACUUGA